rnacentral:rRNA from 1 species
AUUGAACGCUGGCGGCAUGCUUUACACAUGCAAGUCGAACGGCAGCGCGGGCUUCGGCCUGGCGGCGAGUGGCGAACGGGUGAGUAAUACAUCGGAACGUGCCCAGUAGUGGGGGAUAGCUCGGCGAAAGCCGGAUUAAUACCGCAUACGACCUGAGGGUGAAAGCGGGGGAUCUUCGGACCUCGCGCUAUUGGAGCGGCCGAUGGCAGAUUAGCUAGUUGGUGGGGUAAAGGCCUACCAAGGCGACGAUCUGUAGCUGGUCUGAGAGGACGACCAGCCACCUGGGAACUGAGACAGGGCCCAAACCCCACGGGGAGGCAGCGGUGGGGAUUUUGGGACAAGGGGCGAAAGCCUGAUCCCGCAAGGCCGGGUGUGUGAUGAAGGCCUUCGGGUUGUAAAGCACUUUUGGCGGGAACGAAAAGGACUGGGCCAAUACCACGGUUCGAUGACGGUCCCCGCAGAAUAAGCACCGGCUAACUACGU